rnacentral:rRNA from 1 species
ACUAUUACGUCGCUAUUGUUCGUUGGUUUAGGUACUUCAGUAAUGAUGAAUAGAAACGGUUAGGGGCAUUUGUAUUUGGUCGCUAGAGGUGAAAUUCUUGGAUUGA